rnacentral:misc_RNA from 1 species
GCAAACUUGGUCAUUUAGAGGAAGUAAAAGUCGUAACAAGGUUUCCGUAGGUGAACCUGCGGAAGGAUCAUUAUUGAACAAAAUUGAAUAGACUGCUGCUGGUUCUUUGGAGCAUGUGCACGUCUAUUUUAAUUUUAAUUCUCCUGUGCACUAUUGGUGGUUCUUCCAUUGUUAAAAACAGUUUUAAAAUCUUCGAAGGGCUCGUUAUCUUCGGUCAGAGAAGCUUGGUGUAUAUCAAUCAAUAUACAGCUCUUCUUGCUUUAAAACUGGUUUUUAUUUUGGAGGUUAAUCAUCAUUUACAAAUAUCACACAAUGGAUCAGAAUGUCUUCAGAAAUAUGCAUAAAUGUAUAACUUUCAACAACGGAUCUCUUGGCUCUCGCAUCGAUGAAGAACGCAGC